rnacentral:rRNA from 1 species
AACGAACGCUGGCGGCAUGCCUAACACAUGCAAGUCGAACGAGACCUUCGGGUCUAGUGGCGCACGGGUGCGUAACGCGUGGGAAUCUGCCCUUGGGUUCGGAAUAACAGUUGGAAACGACUGCUAAUACCGGAUGAUGACGUAAGUCCAAAGAUUUAUCGCCCAGGGAUGAGCCCGCGUAGGAUUAGCUAGUUGGUGGGGUAAAGGCCUACCAAGGCGACGAUCCUUAGCUGGUCUGAGAGGAUGAUCAGCCACACUGGGACUGAGACACGGCCCAGACUCCUACGGGAGGCAGCAGUGGGGAAUAUUGGACAAUGGGCGAAAGCCUGAUCCAGCAAUGCCGCGUGAGUGAUGAAGGCCUUAGGGUUGUAAAGCUCUUUUACCGGGGAUGAUAAUGACAGUACCGGGAGAAUAAGCCCCGGCUAACUCCGUG